ensembl:misc_RNA Y_RNA Y RNA
GGCUGGUCUGAUGGUAGGGGUUUACCAGAACUUAUUAACAUUAGUGUCACUAAAGUUGGUAUACAACCCCACCACUGCUAAAUUCGACUGGUUUACA